UACGAAGGGGGCUAGCGUUGCUCGGAAUCACUGGGCGUAAAGCGCACGUAGGCGGCUUUCUAAGUCAGGGGUGAAAUCCUGGAGCUCAACUCCAGAACUGCCUUUGAUACUGGAGAGCUUGAGUCCGGGAGAGGUGAGUGGAACUGCGAGUGUAGAGGUGAAAUUCGUAGAUAUUCGCAAGAGCACCAGUGGCGAAGGCGGCUCACUGGCCCGGUACUGACGCUGAGGUGCGAAAGCGUGGGGAGCAAACAGG
rnacentral:rRNA from 1 species